UGAAACAGUUACAACGCACACGAAAACAUCGAACACUGCACAUCUGUACCUCCGAUAUCGUGUCAACAAUUCCUGAGGCAACAAUUCAUGUUCACGACAUCAGAAAGUUAUCUAAAACUAAGUGACGGCGUAGGAAAAGUAGGCAGCAUCGCUAAACGUCAUGGAUUGGCUUCGAGACAGCUUCGAGACAGCCCAAACCGUUCAAAUCAGGCCACAGCGACGGCUUGAUAAGGAUAACCGAAGCUGAUCUCGAAGGCCAUGCUUAUGCUGUCUGCAGAUGGCGGAAGCAAUUCAAAGGUAAAAUACGUUUUAGAAUUUCUUUCUACGCCAAACUAUAGUGUAAAAUAUAGAUUGUUCUACAGUUAUUUUGUCUCGCAACAUCUAUACGUAGUUGUGUGUAACCCGGCACAAAAUUUUAGUAUGCGAGUGUACUGGUUAAUAUUUUUGUCAUCACAGAGGCCACAACAUUCUCACAAGUAUGCAGGUGGCGCUAUUGUUUUUCCUCCGUGUUCUGUGAUGGCGGUCGUAUGUGCGGGGUGCUACGAGCGUCGCGUUUGCUUGAUCGUGUGUUUUUGUGUUUGCUGUUAUGAAGUAGGUCGCAGUUAGCGUGCACAGAAGUGCCUGAAGAUACCUUGUGUCACGCUGCAAACUCGCCGUAUGCGUGGCGCGCCAGGCAAAUGUGGCCCAACGAUUUUAUGCCGUGGAGUGCGGUUUCUUUGUUCUCGUUCUGGAAAGUUGGGUGGACGUCGCAAAGAAUGUGUGUUAGCGCGCCUCAGCUCGUCCACUACGCAGCGGCAUGUAUGCGGGGAGUAACAUCGUCGACGCAGCACCGGCAACUUGGAGAGUGCUUCGCGACCGCGUCGUACCAUUCAAAAGUGGCGAGGCUGUGACCCAUAACAGUGCCUACAUAACGGAGGAGCCACCAGACCCCUUGGCUAUGCCUGCCGUAGUGCAACGUAUAAUCUGGAUGGUCGGGUCAGGUACACCUAGGAAAUGUUGUAUACAUUGGCAACGAUAACUGGGGCCUGCUCCAGUGCCAUCGCCGGGAUUCCCUGUUCUGCAAAAAGCUGACAUAACUGAUGUGGGGAGCCCUGGCGCUCGGUGUAGGAGUAUCACAGGGGCUCCUUGUCGGUGCUUGAAGGACGGCAAUGCUGUUGAGAAGCCGACAUUGAGCCCCGAUAAAUUGGAAGCUGUGGGUAGUUACCGCAUUAUUGACUUGGAAACCAGUGAGGUCUGGAUGCAAGUGAAGCUACCGAGGGAGGCAUGUGUGCAUCACUUGUGCUGCUGGCCAUCCUCUGCAAAAGUGAUGGCUGGCAGUCAGUGCUUGGAUGACUUUCUGUUACUCUACGCCUUGGGCUGUGUUGACUACUUCACACUUGCUGCCAUGUCUGCAAGCUUAGGCAAAAAGACCGGCUGGAUGCUUGGCAGGAGAUAGUAUCCAACCGCAGUGUUACUGUGUUGUGUUGUACAUUACAAAGUGAUGGAGGACAGUAUUUGUGCUGUUAUUAAGAAGUAUAAAUUGUGUUCUGCCAUUGAAAUAAGGGAACUCGACACAAAGCAAAAGAUUUCGAAGUCUGACCUA